rnacentral:rRNA from 1 species
GAUGAACGCUGGCGGCGUGCUUAACACAUGCAAGUCGAACGGUGAAGGCGGAGCUUGCUCUGCUGGAUCAGUGGCGAACGGGUGAGUAACACGUGAGCAAUCUGCCCCUGACUCUGGGAUAAGCGCUGGAAACGGCGUCUAAUACUGGAUACGAGCUGCGAAGGCAUCUUCAGCAGCUGGAAAGAAUUUCGGUCAGGGAUGAGCUCGCGGCCUAUCAGCUUGUUGGUGAGGUAAUGGCUCACCAAGGCGUCGACGGGUAGCCGGCCUGAGAGGGUGACCGACCACACUGGGACUGAGACACGGCCCAGACUCCUACGGGAGGCAGCAGUGGGGAAUAUUGCACAAUGGGCGAAAGCCUGAUGCAGCAACGCCGCGUGAGGGACGACGGCCUUCGGGUUGUAAACCUCUUUUAGCAGGGAAGAAGCGAAAGUGACGGUACCUGCAGAAAAAGCGCCGGCUAACUACGUG